GGGGGGGGGGGGGGGGGGGGGGGGGGGGGGGGGGGGGGGGGGGGGGGGGGGGGGUGGUGGGGGGGUGAGCGGCGGGGGGGUGGGUGGUGCGUGGGAGUCUGCCUGGUAGUGGGGGAUAAGGUCCGGAAACGGGCGCUAAUACCGCAUACGUCCUGAGGGAGAAAGUGGGGGAUCUUCGGACCUCACGCUAUCAGAUGAGCCUAGGUCGGAUUAGCUAGUUGGUGGGGUAAAGGCCUACCAAGGCGACGAUCCGUAACUGGUAUGAGAGGAUGAGCAGUCACACUGGAACUGAGACACGGUCCAGACUCCUACGGGAGGCAGCAGUGGGGAAUAUUGGACAAUGGGCGAAAGAAUGAUCCAGACAUGCCGCGUGUGUGAAGAAGGUCUUCGGAUUGUAAAGAAAUUUAAGUUGGGAGGAAGGGCAGUAAGUUAAUACCUUGCUGUUUUGACGUUACCAACAGAAUAAGCACCGGCUAACUUCGUG
rnacentral:rRNA from 1 species